rnacentral:rRNA from 3 species
ACAGUGGACGCGAGCAUCUGUGGCCAAGUUUUUAAGGGCGCACGGUGGAUGCCUUGGUACCAGGAACCGAUGAAGGACGUGGGAGGCCGCGAUAGUCCCCGGGGAGUUGUCAACCGAGCUGUGAUCCGGGGGUUUCCGAAUGGGGAAACCCGGCAGUCGUUAUGGGCUGUCACCUGCCGCUGAAUGUAUAGGCGGUGUGGAGGGAACGCGGGGAAGUGAAACAUCUCAGUACCCGCAGGAAGAGAAAACAACCGUGAUUCCGGGAGUAGUGGUGAGCGAAACCGGAUGAGGCUAAACCGUUUGUGUGUGAUACCCGGCAGGGGUUGCGCAGGCGGGGUUGUGGGAGCAUGCUUGAUCGUUCUGCCGGACGGUCGGGGAGUAAGAAACCAUUGUGGUAGUCGAAGGGCAUGCGAAAGGCCCGGCGUAGAGGGUAAGACCCCCGUAGACGAAAUUGUGAUGGCUCUCUUGUGUGUUUCCCAAGUAGCACAGGGCCCGAGAAAUCCUGUGUGAAUCUGGCGGGACCACCCGUUAAGCCUAAAUAUUCCCUGGUGACCGAUAGUGGAUAGUACCGUGAGGGAAUGGUGAAAAGUACCGCGGGAGCGGAGUGAAAGAGUUCCUGAAACCGUGUGCCUACAAGCCGUGGGAGCGUCGCACAUCGGGCUUG